AUCACUUGUUCUUUAAAUCAGGACUAGUAUGAAUGGCUUCACGAGAGCUACACUGUCUCCCCCCUUCAAUCAGUGAAACUGAUCCCCUCGUGAAGAAGCGAGGAUGAUCAUAUAAGACGAGAAGACCCCAUGGAGCUUUAAACUUGCACCACUGCCUUGCACCUUCACCCAAACAUCACGGCAUCCUGGCAACAAGUCUUUCGGCUGGGGCGACCACGGAGAAAAACAAAACCUCCAUGAUGAAAGGAACCCCUAAUCAAAGGGCUACCACCCUAAGAAUCAAUAAAUUGACACAUUGACCCAAACAUUUUGAUCAACGAACCAAGUUACCCUGGGGAUAACAGCGCAAUCCAUUUCGAGAGACCCUAUCAACAAAUGGGCUUACGACCUCGAUGUUGGAUCAGGGUAUCCCGGUGGUGCAGCCGCUACUAAUGGUUCGUUUGUUCAACGAUUAAAACCCU
rnacentral:rRNA from 1 species